GCUGUUCUGUAGUCAUCUUGCCUGACUUUUGUGAGCUCGCGAAGCACCAAUCUUCUUCCCUCGCUGCGUCCACUCACGUUACGAGGUUUUUGGUGCAAAACUUUUUGAGAUGGAGCUUACUGUCAGAGCUGGCUCCAGGUCCCAGCUCACAGAGGACCAACGCUAGCCGGCAGUAAUGUACAAAAGUCUUUAUUGAAGUACAGUUUCCAUUUUCAAGCCGGAGCGCCCCAGCUCUACGUCUAGGGGUUAGAUCGGCGAAGCUCCAUCUGAGUCUCCGCCCC